UCUGACAAGAUGCUGCUUGGAGUUGUCAGCUGCAACACCAGUGGGAACAAAUGGCAGCUGCUCAUGUAUACAGGAGAAACUAAAAGGACUGCACUUGAGUAUACCAUUGCGGUGGAGUUGGCUUCCUGUUCAAUUACUUAUAAAGGAGAAGUAAUCUCCCUGCAAAAUGUUGGAGAUCCAAGUUCAAAUCCCUGUUCAGCUAUGAAACUCACUGAAUGCCCU